rnacentral:lncRNA from 1 species
GGAAUGGUGUUACCUCAGCCCUACAGGCCUCCAUUACCUCAGCCCUACAGGUCUCCAUUACCCCUACCCAUGGUGUUACCUCAGCCCUACAGGUCUCCAUUACCCAUGGUGUUACCUCAGCCCUACAGGUCUCCAUUACCUCAGCCCUACAGGUCUCCAUUACCUCUACCCAUGGUGUUACCUCAGCCCUACAGGUCUCCAUUACCCAUGGUGUUACCUCAGCCCUACAGGUCUCCAUUACCUCAGCCCUACAGGCCUCCAUUACCCCUACCCAUGGUGUUACCUCAGCCCUACAGGUCUCCAUUACCCAUGGUGUUACCUCAGCCCUACAGGUCUCCAUUACCUCAGCCCUACAGGUCUCCAUUACCUCAGCCCUACAGGCCUCCAUUACCCCUACCCAUGGUGUUACCUCAGCCCUACAGGUCUCCAUUACCCAUGGUGUUACCUCAGCCCUACAGGCCUCCAUUACCCCUACCCAUGGUGUUACCUCAGCCCUACAGGUCUCCAUUACCCAUGGUGUUACCUCAGCCCUACAGGUCUCCAUUACCUCAGCCCUACAGGUCUCCAUUACCUCAGCCCUACAGGUCUCCGUUACCUCAGCCCUACAGGUCUCCAUUACCUCAGCCCUACAGGUCUCCAUUACUUCAGCCCUACAGGUCUCCGUUACCUCAGCCCUACAGGUCUCCAUUACCCCUACCCAUGGUGUUACCUCAGCCCUACAGGUCUCCAUUACCCAUGGUGUUACCUCAGCCCUACAGGUC